rnacentral:rRNA from 1 species
UGGGGAAUAUUGCACAAUGGGCGCAAGCCUGAUGCAGCCAUGCCGCGUGUAUGAAGAAGGCCUUCGGGUUGUAAAGUACUUUCAGCGGGGAGGAAGGUGUUGAGGUUAAUAACCUCAGCAAUUGACGUUACCCGCAGAAGAAGCACCGGCUAACUCCGUGCCAGCAGCCGCGGUAAUACGGAGGGUGCAAGCGUUAAUCGGAAUUACUGGGCGUAAAGCGCACGCAGGCGGUCUGUCAAGUCGGAUGUGAAAUCCCCGGGCUCAACCGGGGAACUGCAUUCGAAACUGGCAGGCUAGAGUCUUGUAGAGGGGGGUAGAAUUCCAGGUGUAGCGGUGAAAUGCGUAGAGAUCUGGAGGAAUACCGGUGGCGAAGGCGGCCCCCUGGACAAAGACUGACGCUCAGGUGCGAAAGCGUGGGGAGCAAACA